rnacentral:rRNA from 1 species
UACAGAGGGUGCGAGCGUUAAUCGGAAUUACUGGGCGGAAAGCGCACGUAGGUGGCGACGUAAGUCGGGUGUGAAAGCCCCGGGCUCAACCUGGGAAUUGCAUUCGAGACUGCAUUGCUGGAGUACGGAAGAGGAAGGCGGAAUUCCCGGUGUAGCGGUGAAAUGCGUAGAUAUCGGGAGGAACAUCAGUGGCGAAGGCGGCCUUCUGGUCCAGUACUGACACUCAAGUGCGAAAGCGUGGGGAGCAAACAGG